rfam:Neisseria sp. KH1503 contig1, whole genome shotgun sequence.
CGGCUUGGCAAACUUGUCCGAACCGAGAGGUUCAUUUUAUUUUCGGAGUUUUAAAAUGGCAUUGACCGUAGAACAAAAAGCACAAAUUAUCAAAGAUUUCCAACGCAAAGAA